GACGAAUGCUGGCGGCGUGCUUAACACAUGCAAGUCGAACGGAAAGGCCCUGCUUUUGUGGGGUGCUCGAGUGGCGAACGGGUGAGUAACACGUGAGUAACCUGCCCUUGACUUUGGGAUAACUUCAGGAAACUGGGGCUAAUACCGGAUAGGAGCUCCUGCUGCAUGGUGGGGGUUGGAAAGUUUCGGCGGUUGGGGAUGGACUCGCGGCUUAUCAGCUUGUUGGUGGGGUAGUGGCUUACCAAGGCUUUGACGGGUAGCCGGCCUGAGAGGGUGACCGGCCACAUUGGGACUGAGAUACGGCCCAGACUCCUACGGGAGGCAGCAGUGGGGAAUAUUGCACAAUGGGCGGAAGCCUGAUACAGCAACGCCGCGUGCGGGAUGACGGCCUUCGGGUUGUAAACCGCUUUCGCCUGUGACGAAGCGUGAGUGACGGUAAUGGGUAAAGAAGCACCGGCUAACUACGUG
rnacentral:rRNA from 1 species